GGAAGAGAAAUGCUAGUUUUCUUCUGGGGAGAGAGGCGGUUGAGCCCUGGGGGGAGAAUCAGCGCAGGAUUUGGAAUUGGACGGGACUGGGGGGCAUCAGGACCUCUCAAACUGUUGUAAAGUCAGAAAGAAAUCAAGCAUUCUUGUCUUGGUCGGUAAUGAUUAUCAAGGAUGCUAGCAGGGGGGCCUUGAACUCACAACCCUGAGAUCAAGACCUGAGCUGAGAUCAAGAGUCAGAGGCUUAACCAACUGGCCCACUAGGUGCCCCUCCUAGCUUGCUUUUAAAUCUUCCUAAACUCUAGAGUAUAAAAGUUAUUUUCCUAA